AUGGCACAGCACUCCCUGGGUCCAAUGGUGGCAGUGGCCUUGCAGAGUCACUGGCCACCUGUGUCCACUCCGUGCCUGCUGGUCACUGUCUCUGCUCCCUUGGCAGAGCAGCAUGUGGAGGCCCCAGCUGGGGGACUGUCAUCUAGAAAUGAGUACCAGGUCAAGGUCACUGCCUCAGGAGGAAUCUGCUCCACAGCCCCUGUGAAGAAGCCCCUGGUCUUUCCCUUGAGGCCCUGCUGCAGAGGCUCCGCCUCCAGGACCCUGGGCUGCCUGGCCACAGGCUACUUCCCCACACCAGCAACAGUGACCUGGGAUGAAGCCUCCCAGAACGUGAGUGUCCGGAACUUCCCUGCCACCCUCGGCUAUGGCCUCCAUGUCACCACCAGCCAAAUGACCGUCCUGGGCAAGCUGACCACUAAGAGCUUCACCUGCCGUGUGGUGCAUGAGGCAUCCGCAACCGACACAAAUAAGGCCGUUCCAGCCUGCCUCCCUUCCAACUUCACACAGCCCACCGUGGAGCUCCUCCAUUCUUCCUGCGGCCCCAGUGGGUUCUACCCUGCCAUCCGCCUUUAUUGCCUCAUUUCUGGCUACAUCCCAGGUGACCUCCAGGUCACCUGGCUAAAGAAUGAUCAGGAGAUCACAGCGACACCUACUGCCCCACCCAAGCUGGAAGGCAAGCUGGCCUCCACCCACAGUGAACUCAACCUCACUCAGGAAGAAUGGCUGUCGGAGAGUACUUUCACCUGCCGGGUCACCUAUGAAGGCCUAACCUUUGAGGCCCAUGCCCAGAGGUGCACAGAUCAAGAGCCAAGAGGUGUGAGUGCCUACCUGAUCCCGCCCAGCCCUCUGGACCUGUACGUCCACAAAGCACCCACACUCACCUGUCUGGUGGUGGAUCUGGAGAGCGAGGAGGGCGUCCAUGUGGUCUGGUCCCGGGAGAGCGGGAAACCAGCAAAUGGAGGUUCCUGGAACAGCAUCAGGCACCGCAACGCCACCACCAGCAUCAUUGCCACCCUGCCUGUGGACACCCAGGACUGGCUUGGUGGCGAGGCCUAUCGGUGCAUAGUGAACCAGGCCCUCCUACCCAAGGCCAUCGUGCGGUCCAUCACCAAGACCCCAGGGCAACGUGAGGCCCCUGAGGUCUACGUAUUCCCACCCCCCGAGGAGGAGAGCAACGAAAAGUUCACCCUCACCUGCCUAAUCCAGAACUUCUUCCCCGUGGACAUCUCGGUGCAGUGGCUGCAAAAUGAGAAGCCGAUUCUGAACGGCAAACAGAGAACCACAUCGCCCCUCCAGACAAGCUACUCCAGCAACACCUUCUUCCUCUUCAGCCGCCUGGAGGUCACCAGGGCAGACUGGAUACAGAAUAAUCAAUUCACCUGCCGUGUGGUCCAUGAGGCACUGGACAAACCUCGGACCCUUGACAAAACAGUGUCCAAGAACCCUGAGCUGGAUCUCCAGGAGCUGUGCACCGAGGAGGCUGAGGCUGAGGAGCUAGAGGAGCUGUGGACCAGCACCUGCAUUUUCAUCACCCUGUUCCUUCUCAGCGUGAGCUAUGGCGCCACCAUCUCCCUCUUUAAGGUGAAGUGGGUCUACUCUUCCCAGCUGCUGGAGGCACCCCAGGCUCCUCACGACUACGCCAACGUCCUCUGGCCUCGGGCCUGA